rnacentral:rRNA from 1 species
GAUGAACGCUGGCGGCGUGCCUAAUACAUGCAAGUCGAGCGAACAGACGAGGAGCUUGCUCCUUUGACGUUAGCGGCGGACGGGUGAGUAACACGUAGGUAACCUACCUAUAAGACUGGGAUAACUUCGGGAAACCGGAGCUAAUACCGGAUAAUAUUUCGAACCGCAUGGUUCGAUAGUGAAGGAUGGCUUUGCUAUCACUUAUAGAUGGACCUGCGCCGUAUUAGCUAGUUGGUAAGGUAACGGCUUACCAAGGCAACGAUACGUAGCCGACCUGAGAGGGUGAUCGGCCACACUGGAACUGAGACACGGUCCAGACUCCUACGGGAGGCAGCAGUAGGGAAUCUUCCGCAAUGGGCGAAAGCCUGACGGAGCAACGCCGCGUGAGUGAUGAAGGUCUUCGGAUCGUAAAACUCUGUUAUUAGGGAAGAACAAACGUGUAAGUAACUGUGCACGUCUUGACGGUACCUAAUCAGAAAGCCACGGCUAACUACGUG